rnacentral:rRNA from 1 species
CACUUCGGUGUUUGAGACCGGCGCACGGGUGCGUAACGCGUAUGCAAUCUACCUUGUACAGGGGAAUAGCCCAGAGAAAUUUGGAUUAAUGCCCCAUAGUAUAUAACCUUCGCAUGUUGGUUAUAUUAAAGUUCCAACGGUACAAGAUGAGCAUGCGUCCCAUUAGUUAGUUGGUAAGGUAACGGCUUACCAAGACGAUGAUGGGUAGGGGUCCUGAGAGGGAGAUCCCCCACACUGGUACUGAGACACGGACCAGACUCCUACGGGAGGCAGCAGUGAGGAAUAUUGGUCAAUGGUCGCAAGACUGAACCAGCCAUGCCGCGUGCAGGAAGACGGUCCUAUGGAUUGUAAACUGCUUUUAUACAGGAAGAAACCCUCCCACGUGUGGGAGCUUGACGGUACUGUAGGAAUAAGGAUCGGCUAACUCCGUGCCAGCAGCCGCGGUAAU